CGCGCCCUGUCGUGUUCGAGGCGUUGGCUUUAAUAGCUCUUAGCCUACCUUCUUUUAUGGGAGACGUGAUGAAUGGAGGAUGCCCAGCCGUAAACCGGACUGCAGAAUCUGUUUUGAUGUCACCCACUUUAAUAUACACAGGACCAAGAGCCCUGUUGGCGUACGGCACUAUGGUGGGGCGCGU
rnacentral:other from 1 species